rnacentral:rRNA from 1 species
GAUGAACGCUAGCGGCAGGCUUAACACAUGCAAGUCGAGGGGCAGCAUAAAUAGUAGCAAUACUAUUGGUGGCGACCGGCGGACGGGUGCGUAACGCGUAUACAACCUUCCCUAAACAGGGGGAUAAUCUGGAGAAAUUCGGUCUAAUACCCCAUAACAUCAGAGCAGGCAUCUGUUUUGGUUAAAAUUUCCGGAGGUUUAGGAUGGGUAUGCGUAGCAUUAGCUAGUUGGUGAGGUAACGGCUCACCAAGGCGACGAUGCUUAGGGGGACUGAGAGGUUAACCCCCCACACUGGUACUGAGACACGGACCAGACUCCUACGGGAGGCAGCAGUGAGGAAUAUUGGUCAAUGGGCGGAAGCCUGAACCAGCCAUGCCGCGUGCAGGAAGACGGCUCUAUGAGUUGUAAACUGCUUUUGUACGAGGGUAAAGUGGGCUACGUGUAGCCUUUUGAAAGUAUCGUACGAAUAAGGAUCGGCUAACUCCGUGCCAGCAGCCGCAGUAA